GACGAACGCUGGCGGCGUGCUUAACACAUGCAAGUCGAGCGGAGCGGCGAACGGGUGAGUAACGCGUGAGUAACUGCCCCCCUCCCUGGGAUAACAGUUUGAAACGGCUGCUAAUACCGGCUAGUGGGGGAUGACUCGCGUCCUAUCGGCUUGUUGGUGGGGUGGUGGCAUACCAAGGCUACGACGGGAAGCCGGCCUGAGAGGGCGACCGGCCACAUUGGGCUGAGAUACGGCCCAAACUCCUACGGGAGGCAGCAGGGGGGAAUAUUGCACAAUGGGGGAAACCCUGAUGCAGCAACGCGCGGGCGGGAUGACUGCCUUCGGGUUGUAAACCGCUUUCAGCCAUGACGCGGUAGUGGCAGAAGAAGCACCGGCUAACUACGUGCCAGCAGCCGCGGUAAUUC
rnacentral:rRNA from 1 species